CUACCAUGGCAGUCACGGGUAACGGAGAAUUAGGGUUCGAUUCCGGAGAGGGAGCCUGAGAAACGGCUACCACAUCUACGGAAGGCAGCAGGCGCGCAAAUUGCCCAAUCCCGACACGGGGAGGCAGUGACAAGAAAUAACAACUCUAGGUUUUCUUAGAAGUGUAAUGAGGAUAAUUUACAAACCUUACCAAAUGCAACUGGAGGGCAAGUCUGGUGCCAGCAGCCGCGGUAAUUCCAGCUCCAAUAGCGUAUAUUAAAGUUGUUGCAGUUAAAAAGCUCGUAGUUGAAAAUCUGAUUGCUCAGGUCUCCAGCCUUUAGGCGGGGAUUCUGACAGUCAUCCGCUUGCAAACAUAUGUUCGAUCUUCACCGGUUGGCUAUGUGAGUAAGCACUUUACCUUGAGAAAAACAGAGUGUUCCAGGCAGGUUUGUCCGGAAUGCAUUAGCAUGGAAUAAUAGAACAUGACUGAAGUCUAUUUAUUGGUUAAAAGCUUUAGUAAUGAUUAAUAGGAACAGUCGGGGGCAUUCGUACUCAGCAGUCAGAGGUGAAAUUCUAAGAUUUGCUGAAGACGAACUAAUGCGAAAGCAUUUGCCAAGGAUGUUUUCAUUAAUCAAGAACGAAAGUUAGGGGAUC
rnacentral:rRNA from 1 species